ACAUUAUGAAUCUUGGAUUUUAAAGGGACAUGAAUUACUGUAUAAGAUUAUACAAGAAGGCUUGCUUGGGCUUAGUGGGUUGAGCCCAUUAGGCCCAUGCGCCGAUCAUGGCCCAAAAAUUGGGCUGUGACAGGAAGAAGAAUCAAAUUGGUUUUUCUUUUCAUACAAUGAUCAAAGACAUCUGCAAGCAAACAAAAACUAAUAUUAAAACAAGAAAAAUAAAAUUUGAAGUAAGACUAAAUUGCUUGGUAUGAAUAUUAGUUAAAAUUCUAGAAACAAUUUCUCAACAACAGUGUCAAAAACUUGUUAGUUAAAUUUCUACCUACACAAGUAUACGCAUCAAAAAGAUAGUAUAACGGUAAGCAGAGUAUCAAUCCCAUAGUGAAUUGAUUUAAAAUUUUACUAAGUACUAAAAUUAGAACAAUUUAAUCUUAUCCAAAUAAUCAAAAUUAAUUAAUUGCUUAAAACAAAUUGACCAAAAUUUAAACUAAAAAGAAAAAUCAAAGUAACAAUAACUUGAGUAAAAAUCAAAUCAAACAAGCCUAAGAUUACAAUAUCCCUCACACUUCAUCUAAAUCUUACCUCUAUUCCUUAACUUAUUUCAAUAGGUUGAAUUGCUAACCUAAAGUCCUCAAUUAUUUAUAAAGGUCUCCUGACUCGUCUUAUAAAAACAUCUAUUUUAAUCAAAACACUAUAUUCUUAUGUGAAUUGAAAUUAAAACAGACUCAUUAAGUUCAAGCUCUAAUUUUGGCUACAUAUGGCAUAUGUGUAUAUCUUUAUCCUCUACACAAAUCAAUUACUAUGAUCAUAUGCUAUCCCAAUUUUAGUUUACAGUAAACUCCCUUUGUCACAACCCAAUUCUCGAGCCAUGAUUGGCGCAAGGACCCAAUAGGCAUAGCCCACUAGGCCCAAGCAAGCCUUUCAAUAUGCACUUGUAUAUUAACCCAUCUAUCUAGCAUAUUUCUUUAAUAUCUGUACUUAAUAGUGUUCAAAUGUCGAUUUCUCCAACAUAACUCAUAAAACCCAAGUGAAUGCUCACAUUAGUAUCAUAAUUCAAAUCAUACAUAAAUAGUUGUCAAUAUAUCUUUGCUAAUUCACACAAAACAUAUACAAAGACUUUGACCGUUAGCGGAGUGACUCUAGAUGGGGAGAUAUGACUACUGAGUGUCAAGAUACCUACCCAAGGGAUGGGGGUACGCGGACACCUCAAUCUACAUAUCAACCACCACUGAAUCUGAAAACAUGAAGUUGAAAGCGGUGAGCAUAAACUCAGUGAGUGAACAAGAAGGGAACAAGCAUACCAUAAGGAAUGUUUAUCAAAAACACGAUGCACUCAUUUUCUCAAAACAAUGCAAUUUGUUCUAGUUCUUAGUAUAACCCCUCAUGUAACCCUCAUGAGUAAAUCACUUAAAAGAUCCAUACUUAACUGUGGUACUAAAGAAUAAAAAAAUAUAGCAAAACCCACAAGUUAGCCAAAAUGGACAGAAAGUUUCUCGUUGUAGCAAGAACCAGAUCUGGUGAUGGCCCUCAAACUCGAGAGUUUCUCGCUGCACCGAGAGUUAGAACAUCAAGGAAAAAGUCUCAUUUUCCUUUAAAACAAGCCAUCCUGCUAAAAUAACAAUAGCAACAUGUAACAGAUGUAAACUCCCAAAUUUCAACAAAUCAAAUGCUCACAUAUUUACAUUUACAACCAUAUACCAUAUAUCUAUGUAUAUAUAUAUCAAUCAUCAUGUACACCCUCCCAUCAUCAUCAUCUCAUAUGCAAUGGCUUAUGCGUACUCCCACUCGCAUAUAGCCGGGUCAGCAACGGCUUAUGUGCACUCCCACUCACACAUAGUCGGGUCAGCAACAACUUAUGUGCACUCCCAUUCACUCAUAGCCGGGUCAGCAACGGCUUAUGUGCACUCCUACUUGCACAUAGCGGGGUCAACAAUGGCUUAUGUGCACUACUACUUGCACAUAGCCGGGUCCACAUCAACAUGCAAAGACGCAUCCAAUGCAUAUCGUGCAUUUUAUCAUAUUGUGAUAACACAUAAACCAUUGUAUAGCACAUUUUCACAAUAUAAAAUCAUUUUACUAAAAGCUUGUUCCCAAGGUACAUUUUCUAAGACAAGUUGGAUAGAAUCUUUCAUAUUCCCCAAAACAAGUUUGAAAUGCAAGUCCACUCACCUUACGAUAGCGAGAUGUUACAUCGUUAUUAGCUCAAAGGUGUAUCUAGCUAUUUCUACUUGUCGGGUGCUCGUUAUUCCCUCUGGCAUGCCACCACAGUACUCUAACCUUAUCUUUGCACUUCCUAACAAUAAUAUGAACUCAAUAUAUUUAAUUAUAUACGUAUAUGGGCAGCACUUCAAUCAAUUAAUCCUUACUCAAAUUUAUAUUUUUCAUCCUAUCAUGAAACCAUCUUCAACUAACUCACAUCUUAAUACUUUUUUACCAAACUUAUUUAUAUCCAUUGCUUACGAAAUUCCUUAAAUUAUAUCACCGGCAACUUAUUUAUGAUGUCAUGUGCCUACUUCAACCUUUCUCAAUAAUUUUCGCCCAAAUCCAUCUUAUAUUUCCACACAUAAUCCACAUAUAUGGCAGCAACAAUCAUUCUCACUUUCACUCGAUUAUUUCCUAGUUUACAUGCAUCGUUAUCUAUCUAACUUUCAAUACUUUGUUUCUCAAUCCUCCGUCCACAAUAUUCCUUUUUCAUUUCUUUCAAACAACAUGCCAUAAAAUCUUAAUAAUUUUCAACUAGCUUAGGCAAAUAAAUCCUUUCAACAACCAUAAUUCCUCACAAUAUUCAACUAACCGUAGGCUUUAAAACAUAGUGUUAAGCUUACCGUUUUCCUUUUCCACUUUGAGUCCUUCAUGUACUAAUGGGCUUAUUGGCUUACAUGUUACCAAUUUUUCUCCAAUCUUUGCUGCCACAAGACAUUUCUCUAAGUCACUAACUCAUUUUCAAAAACUACUCAAGCCAAAAACAAGAAUUCUUACUGUUCCUUGCUUGAAUCACCAAAACCAAGCUUUUUCUUCCUUUCUCUCUUUUUCUUUCUUCUUUUCCUUGAGUUUAUAUGUGCUGGAAAUUGGGGUUAGAAGUUGUAACAUUGGUGCACAAGAAGUUGGGAGAAGAAUGAAGCAAGAAGGGAAAAGAAAUGAAAAGAAAAUAAGGAAAAAAA
rnacentral:lncRNA from 1 species